UCCUGACUGUCACUGAAACCACUGCAGAGAAUCACAAAUACCAUCUUCCUUCUGCAGGGUUACAAAGAGAAGAAUAAAUUCAUGGCUGCUCAAGGCCCCAAACAGGAGAUGGCCAGGGACUUCUGGAGGAUGGUCUGGGAGCAGAAGUCAGAGACCAUUGUCAUGCUGACCAACUUGAAAGAAAGAAAAAAGAGAACUGAUGUCCUUCAGUAAGAGAUCCAGUUGCUAACUCAUCAGGUGGAGCAGCUGCAUCAGCUUUAUCAAGAGGCUGUGUGUGACUCAUCCCAACUGAAGAAAAUCUUCUGGAGCAGAAGAAGUCCACGAAGCUUUCAGAAGGGAAAAUUACCAUUGAUGACUUCUUUCAAGGGAGAUGGGAUUUAGACAAGUAGAAAGCAAGGCUCCAAUUAA